ACUCCCAUGGCGUAGUGGUCACUGCGCUCGCCUUGCACGCGGGAGACCCGGGUUCGAUUCCCGGCGGAGUC
rfam:Asian citrus Psyllid, Diaphorina citri - Florida Strain, whole genome shotgun sequence.